rnacentral:tRNA from 1 species
GGGUAGAUGACUGAGUUGGUUUAAGGUGCUUCGCUUGAAACGAAAUAAAGUAUUUUACUUUCAUGGGUUCAAAUCCCAUUCUGCCCG